rnacentral:rRNA from 1 species
UACAGAGGGGGCAAGCGUUGUUCGGAAUUACUGGGCGUAAAGGGCGCGUAGGCGGCCCGCUAAGUCGAACGUGAAAUCCCCGGGCUCAACCCGGGAACUGCGUCCGAUACUGGCGGGCUUGAAUCCGGGAGAGGGAUGCGGAAUUCCAGGUGUAGCGGUGAAAUGCGUAGAUAUCUGGAGGAACACCGGUGGCGAAGGCGGGUCUCUGGGCCGAUACUGACGCUGAGGAGCGAAGGCGUGGGGAGCGAACAGG